rnacentral:rRNA from 1 species
GAUGAACGCUAGCGGGAGGCCUAACACAUGCAAGCCGAGCGGUAUUGUUUCUUCGGAAAUGAGAGAGCGGCGUACGGGUGCGGAACACGUGUGCAACCUGCCUUUAUCUGGGGGAUAGCCUUUCGAAAGGAAGAUUAAUACUCCAUAAUAUAUUGAACGGCAGCGUUUGAUAUUGAAAGCUCCGGCGGAUAGAGAUGGGCACGCGCAAGAUUAGCUAGUUGGUGAGGUAACGGCUCACCAAGGCAAGGAUCUUUAGGGGGCCUGAGAGGGUGAUCCCCCACACUGGUACUGAGACACGGACCGGACUCCUACGGGAGGCAGCAGUGAGGAAUAUUGGUCAAUGGGUGCAAGCCUGAACCAGCCAUCCCGCGUGAAGGACGACUGCCCUAUGGGUUGUAAACUUCUUUUGUAUAGGGAUAAACCUACCCUCGUGAGGGUAGCUGAAGGUACUAUACGAAUAAGCACCGGCUAACUCCGUGCCAGCAGCCGCCGUAAAAC